rnacentral:rRNA from 1 species
CGCGUGUGUGAAGAACGCUUCGGGUUGUAAAGCACUUUUGUCAGGAACGAAACGGGGGGGCUAAUAUCCUCUGCUAAUGACGGUACCUGAAGAAUAGGCACCGGCUAACUACGUGCCAGCAGCCGCGGUAAUACGUAGGGUGCGAGCGUUAAUCGGAAUUACUGGGCGUAAAGCGUGCGCAGGCGGUUGUGCAAGACAGAUGUGAAAUCCCCGGGCUCAACCUGGGAAUUGCAUUUGUGACUGCACGGCUAGAGUGUGUCAGAGGGGGGUAGAAUUCCACGUGUAGCAGUGAAAUGCGUAGAUAUGUGGAGGAAUACCGAUGGCGAAGGCAGCCCCCUGGGAUAACACUGACGCUCAUGCACGAAAGCGUGGGGAGCAAACAGGAUUAGAUACCCUGGUAGUCCACGCCCUAAACGAUGUCUACUAGUUGUCGGGUCUUAAUUGACUUGGUAACGCAGCUAACGCGUGAAGUAGACCGCCUGGGGAGUACGGUCGCAAGAUUAAAACUCAAAGGAAUUGACGGGGACCCGCACAAGCGGUGGAUGAUGUGGAUUAAUUCGAUGCAACGCGAAAAAACU